rnacentral:lncRNA from 1 species
NNNNNNNNNNNNNNNNNNNNNNNNNNNNNNNNNNNNNNNNGAUGGAGAUGUGGGGCCUGGGGAUGGGAAUGUCAUGGGGACGGGGAUGUCAUGGGGACGUGGGGUCUGGGGACGGGGACGUGAUGAAGAUGUGGGGCCUGGGGAUGGGGACAUCAUGGAGAUGUGAGGCCUGGGGAUGGGGACACGAUGGAGAUGUAGGGUCUGGGGAUGGGAACGUCAUGGGGAUGGGGAUGCCGUGGGGUUGUGGGGCCUGGGGAUGGGGACGUCAUGGGGAUGUGGGGUCUGGGGACAUCCUGGAGACAGGGGUGGCCCUGGGGACAAGGGUGCCAUUGGGACGUGGGUCCUGCGGACGGGGACAUGAUGGAGAUACGGGGCCUGGGGAUGGUGGUGGCCCUGGGGACAGGGGUGCCAUGGAGAUGUGGGGCCUGGGGACAGGGGUGGCCUGGGGAUGACGGGGGGACGGCGGAGGGGGACAGGGCCGUGGCCACCUCCGCUGGGGGCAAGGGUCAGGGGUCAGCGUCCCCUGGUGUCACCGUCCCUGUGGUUUGGGGAACCCCAGGGUGUGAUGGGGCCACUGCAGGGGUGACACCGGGGACRCCGGUGGGGCCCAGGGUCAGGGGUCAGAGGUCGGGAGGGUCAGGGGUCACUAGGAGCCAGGGUCAGAGGGCACUAGGUGGCACAGAAAUGGCAGCAGGGAAAAGUCAGAGGUCAGGGGUCACGGCAGGGGUCAGGCUGGGGGGGGGCGUCCCACAGUCGGGGGUCCCCCCCCCCGGGAAAGGGACCCAGGCGUCCGGGGCGGCACGUGACCAACCCCCCCACCGCCGACAGCGCAUGCGCGCCCGCUCCCUCCCCGCGCUCAUCGACAGCGCAUGCGCGCCCGCCCCUCCCCUCCGUCCCCCGCCUCACGCACGCGCAGAGGCGCUGAGUACGGCGGCCGCGCAGGGACACGCCGAGCCAAGAUGGCGGCGGCGGCGGCCGGCGCCUCUUCCUCCGCGGCGGGG